rnacentral:rRNA from 1 species
AACUGAAGAGUUUGAUCAUGGCUCAGAUUGAACGCUGGCGGCAGGCUUAACACAUGCAAGUCGAGCGGGGGAAGGUAGCUUGCUACUGGACCUAGCGGCGGACGGGUGAGUAAUGCUUAGGAAUCUGCCUAUUAGUGGGGGACAACAUCUCGAAAGGGAUGCUAAUACCGCAUACGUCCUACGGGAGAAAGCAGGGGAUCUUCGGACCUUGCGCUAAUAGAUGAGCCUAAGUCGGAUUAGCUAGUUGGUGGGGUAAAGGCCUACCAAGGCGACGAUCUGUAGCGGGUCUGAGAGGAUGAUCCGCCACACUGGGACUGAGACACGGCCCAGACUCCUACGGGAGGCAGCAGUGGGGAAUAUUGGACAAUGGG